CAGUCAAUGUGGAAUGCAAGGGUCUGAAACCAGAUUGCAGAUUAGAAAGAAGAUUGUGUAUAGUUAAAUAUUCAUCAGUACAUUUGGUCAAAGAUUACUUUCUCAAAAAUUUUAGCAAUUACAGAUAAGACAGAUAUUGGUCUAUAGUUGUUGGGAUUCAUUUACCACAACAUUCUUGGCGAGUUUUCAUGCCGCUAUCUUGAUGAAUAUUCGUAUAUUUACAUACGUCGAUAGUUUUUGCUUGCUUAACCAUCAUGCAGAAUGACAAAAUAUCAAAGUCAUAGAAAAACUAUUUAAUACAGUUCAUUUAUACCCGUCCAGUUCAUUUAUAUUAAAAGCGUUUUUGUAACCAAACUUUUAUUUGGCUUUUGAUAUUCAUAUAACAUUCAAAACCUGUGUCGAACUUAAUCUAUAAAACUUAAUUAUCUAAAAACAACCCGAAAAAGACCCUCUUCCCUGUCAGGGCAACUUGAUUGCCAAUAGUUAACAAUUGUCAGUUGAUUGUCAAUUAAUGGCCACAAAUAAAAUGUUAUAAGGGACGGACCAUUAGAAAAGUGUU